rnacentral:rRNA from 1 species
UACGUAGGUGGCAAGCGUUGUCCGGAUUUACUGGGCGUAAAGGGCGUGCAGGCGGUCUGUUAAGUCUAGGGUGAAAGCUCCCGGCUCAACUGGGAGAGGUCCUUGGAUACUGGCGGACUCGAGGGAGGCAGAGGAAAGUGGAAUUCCCGGUGUAGUGGUGAUAUGCGUAGAUAUCGGGAGGAACACCAGUGGCGAAGGCGGCUUUCUGGGCCUUACCUGACGCUGAGACGCGGAAAGCGUGGGGAGCGAACCGG